rnacentral:rRNA from 1 species
CCUCAGCUAUGCUAAUCAGCUGAGGGUUAGUCGGGACCUAACGCGAACCCGAAAGGGGUAGUGGAUGGACAACAGGUUAAUAUUCCUGUACCUGCUCAUAUUAAAGUGACGGAGGCGUAUAUUUGGUGCGUGCUGACGGAAUAGCACGUUGAAGCCAGUGGUAACACGGCGAUAGUACACUAAGACUUCGGUUGCGGUGAUAAUCCAGAGAAGCGACUUCCAAGAAAAGCGAUUGAAGCAGCCCGUACCCUAAACCGACACAGGUAGUUGGGAUG